CCUACGGGGGGCAGCAGUGGGGGAUAUUGCACAAUGGGGGAAACCCUGAUGCAGCGACGCCGCGUGAGUGAAGACGUCUUUCGGUAUGUAAAGCUCUAUCAGCAGGGAAGAAAAUGACAGUACCUGACCAAGAAGCCCCGGCUAACUACGUGACCGCAGCCGCGGUACUACGUAGGGGGCAAGCGUUAUCCGGAUUUACGGGGUGUAAAGGGAGCGUAGACGGUUAUGUAAGUCUGGAGUGAAAGCCCGGGGCCCAACCCCGGGACUGCUAUGGAAACGGUGUAACUGGAGUGCAGGAGGGGCAGGCGGAAUGCCUGGGGUAGCGGUGAAAUGCGUAGAUAUCAGGAGGAACACCGGCUGCGAAGGCGGCCUGCUGGACUGAAACUGACGUUGAGGCUCGAAAGCGUGGGGAGCAAACAGGAUUAGAUACCCCAGUAGUC
rnacentral:rRNA from 1 species